UGAUUCGUCGGAAGGAGACCGAAGCCCCUGUGGGCUGGACCCGGUCGGACCUUGAGGUGUGAGUAGGACACCUGGUGGGAGCGGGAGAGCCAGAUGGCUGGCACCGUGCUCGGGGUGGGGGCCGGCGUGUUCAUCCUAGCCCUGCUCUGGGUGCUGGUGCUGCUGCUGUGUGUGCUGUUAUCCAGAGCCUCGGGGAUAGCCAGGUUCUCUAUCAUUUUUGUGUUCCUCGGUGCUCUGAUCAUCACAUCAGUUCUGCUGCUCUUCCCUCGAGCCAGCGAAGUCCCAGCCCCAGAGGUUGAAAUGAAGAUUGUGGAUUCCUUUUUCAUUGGCCGCUAUGUCCUGCUGGCUUUCCUCACUGCUGUCUUCCUUGGAGGCCUGUUUUUGGUUCUCAUUCAUCAUAUCCUGGAGCCAGUCUAUGCCAAACCGCUGCGGUCCUACUGAGCACUACUCAGGAAGACCAAACCAUUCUAUCCUUCACUUCUGAGGUCACUGAUGAGCAGAAAGGUACUCUUCGGAGCCUUAUUUUGACAGCCUUCAUGCCUUAAGAUCGGAGAAAUAUCCAUUCAUGACUAAGGCAAAUCCCUUGAGUCCUGGCUUCCAGAAAUGGGGUUGCAAAAUUGGCCCUGCCAAGAUGAUUCUCACCAUCUUCAGAGGGAUAGUGUGGUCUUCUUAGCACCUGUUCCUCAGGUUUUCAAUCUGUUUUGAAAAGGGCCUACAGGUGAAAAAAGAAAGGAGAAACAUCUCUCUAAGCAGAUUGGAGGAGAGAAAGGAGAAUGCAGACAUGUGGAAGGAAGUAGGGCGAAUGGGCAGUCAGGCUGUGUGCUCUUCUCUGGACACUUGCACUGAAGCUUCCAGAUGCCUGUGCAGAUGCUCCAUGCAGAAACACUGAGCCAGCCCAAGUGGAGCAUGGACUCCUAACAAGCACAGGCUGCCAUUUGUCACCUCCUGAAAGACUUGCUGACAAAGCAAAUCUGGGAAAACUUGUAGGUUCUGACCUUGAAUCCAUCUUUUUUAUUCCCCAACAAAGGUGUCCAACUAUAAGAUCAAUGGGUAAUAGCUAUGAAGUUUUGGAUGACUACAUGGGAAAAAAUGUGUUAAGGUUGGAAACUAAAACACCAUGGCUAGCUAAUGUGUGUGUGUACGUGUGUGAGUGCGAACGCAUGUGUAUGUGUGUUUUGCACGAUUUAAAUGACAGGUUUGUGUGUUAAGGGCAAAAAUACACUUUGUACAAAGUGUUUCUUAGGUUGGCCUGCCUUCUGUAGAUCGCACUACCAGCCGUGAGGAAAUGACUGCUAGAUUAUUCUCUAACUUCAUACUCUAGGCAGUUAUGGCCAACCAUUAAAAAACAAAAAAACAACCACAGGUUGCGAUAAGAAGUAGAUAGCUGAAACAUGAAUGUCACUGAGAGUCCUACAUGGGGCACCCUACAGAGUCUGACAUAGCACCCCCUGGGCUCACCACCUUCCUUGGAGACAGGGCGUAGAGGCCAUCUUAGUGUCCCAUUCAUAAUUCUUUGAUCAUGGCCUUAGAACAGGUGGUGCUGGGAUCCCUGGGUGGCGCAGCGGUUUGGCGCCUGUCUUUGGCCCAGGGCGCGAUCCUGGAGACCCGGGAUCGAAUCCCAUAUCGGGCUCCCGGUGCAUGGAGCCUGCUUCUCCCUUUGCCUAUGUCUCUGCCCCUCUCUCUCUCUCUCUCUCUGUGACUAUCAUAAAUAAAAAAAAAGAACAGGUGGUGCUGUGCCCUACCCAGAGGGGAUCCUGUAGCAGAAAGACUGGUGAUCCCCACUGUUUACUAGGUGGAGAGGGAGAGUAAAUCAACAGUUAGUUCUACAUGGAAAACAGGUGAUUUCAUAGCCUCUUAAAAUUGUAUCCUGGCAAAAGCUAAAUUAGCAGGACACCACACGCCCCCACGACGGAGACAUUGGCCCAGUCCGCUAGGUGGCGCUGCGUGUUAUAGUUUACAAAGUCCCUCAAGUCCGCCAGACACGCUUACCAGGUAAUAUUUUGACAAGUUCCUUAAAUUUCUCAUUUAUACAAAUGGAAGUAAAGCUAACAUUCUUUGCUGCUAUGUGGUAUCAGCUAUUUAAAAAUUCAUCAAAGUUAUUGUGCCAACAUUCAGGUCCUGGGAAAUGCAUAGUCCAUGCUUCGUACCACGUGUGCUGCCAUUCAUUUAAUUCUAACAUCAGGGAUUCCACUUCUUGACUUCUUGUUCUGUUCUCUGAGACAUAAACUCUUCUGUCAACUCCACUGUUGCUUCAGCUGAAGCAUUUUUAUUUUACUUUGAUUUUUUUUUCAAAGCAUACAGAAACCUGCUGCAAUUAUUUUAUGGAAGAGAAACAGGCAAAGAGAGGAAGGGAUGUUAAAACUUCCCUAGUUACUAGUGGGGCUCAAACCUGACAUCAGGAUUCCUGACAUUUCACUCCUCAAAUAAUAAUAAAGAUCAUUUUUUGCUCACAAACAACUCGUUGUUUCUACAUUAGUUAAUAGUAUUUUAUAGCUAUUGAUCUCAUCCUUUCCCUAAACCCAUGUCUUUGAAAACAUAAAACUUCCAUUGUAGAAUUUCUGAUUAGCAUCUGUAGCAUGAAUAAAAAUAUUUCAUCAUAACUUCUUGGCUUAAACUUU